rnacentral:rRNA from 1 species
GGCUAGAGUCUUGGAGAGGGGGGUAGAAUUCCGGGGGUAGCUGGGAAAAGCGUAGAGAUCUGGAGGAAUACCGGUGGCGAGGGCGGCCCCCUGGACAAAGACUGACGCUCAGAUGCGAAAGGGUGGGGAGAAAACAGGAUUAGAUACCCUGGUAGUCCACGCCGUAAACGAUGUCGAUUUGGAGGUUGUGCCCUUGAGGCGUGGCUUCCGGAGCUAACGCGUUAAAUCGACCGCCUGGGGAGUACGGCCGCAAGGUUAAAACUCAAAUGAAUUGACGGGGGCCCGCACAAGCGGUGGAGCAUGUGGUUUAAUUCGAUGCAACGCGAAGAACCUUACCUGGUCUUGACAUCCACAGAACUUUCCAGAGAUGGAUUGGUGCCUUCGGGAACUGUGAGACAGGUGCUGCAUGGCUGUCGUCAGCUCGUGUUGUGAAAUGUUGGGUUAAGUCCCGCAACGAGCGCAACCCUUAUCCUUUGUUGCCAGCGGUCCGGCCGGGAACUCAAAGGAGACUGCCAGUGAUAAACUGGAGGAAGGUGGGGAUGACGUCAAGUCAUCAUGGCCCUUACGACCAGGGCUACACACGUGCUACAAUGGCAUAUACAAAGAGAAGCGACCUCGCGAGAGCAAGCGGACCUCUCAAAGUAUGUCGUAGUCCGGAAUGGAGUCUGCGACUUGACUCCCUUUAGUCGUAAUCUCUAGUACUCGUAGAUCAGAAUGCUAAGGUGAAGUCGUUCCCGGGCCUUGUACACACCGCCCGUCACACCAUGGGAGUGGGCUGCAAAAGAAGUAGGUAGCUUAACCUUCGGGAGGGCGCUUACCACUUUGUGAUUCAUGACUGUGGUGAAGUCGUAACAAGGUAACCGUAGGGGAACCUGCGGUUG